AGAUUUGUAUUUAAAUUUAUAAAAUCUAUUCUGCAAAUAGAAAUUGCCAAAAGCCUAAUCUU
rnacentral:tRNA from 1 species